AAGCGAGCGCAGGCGGUUCUUUAAGUCUGAUGUGAAAGCCCCUGGCUCAACCAGGGAGGGUCAUUGGAAACUGGAGAACUUGAGUGCAGAAGAGGAAAGUGGAAUUCCAUGUGUAGCGGUGAAAUGCGUAGAUAUAUGGAGGAACACCAGUGGCGAAGGCGACUUUCUGGUCUGUAACUGACGCUGAGGCUCGAAAGCAUGGGGAGCAAACAGGAUUAGAUACCCUGGUAGUCCAUGCCGUAAACGAUGAGUGCUAAGUGUUGGAGGGUUUCCGCCCUUCAGUGCUGCAGCUAACGCAUUAAGCACUCCGCCUGGGGAGUACGACCGCAAGGUUGAAACUCAAAGGAAUUGACGGGGGCCCGCACAAGCGGUGGAGCAUGUGGUUUAAUUCGAAGCAACGCGAAGAACCUUACCAGGUCUUGACAUCCUUUGACCGCUCUAGAGAUAGAGCUUUCCCUUCGGGGACAAAGUGACAGGUGGUGCAUGGUUGUCGUCAGCUCGUGUCGUGAGAUGUUGGGUUAAGUCCCGCAACGAGCGCAACCCUUAUUAUUAGUUGCCAGCAUUCAGUUGGGCACUCUAGUGAGACUGCCGGUGAUAAACCGGAGGAAGGUGGGGAUGACGUCAAAUCAUCAUGCCCCUUAUGACCUGGGCUACACACGUGCUACAAUGGAUGGUACAACGAGUCGCAAAACCGCGAGGUUAAGCUAAUCUCUUAAAGCCAUUCUCAGUUCGGAUUGUAGGCUGCAAUUCGCCUACAUGAAGCCGGAAUCGC
rnacentral:rRNA from 1 species